rnacentral:lncRNA from 1 species
UUUUUUUUUUUUUAAAUAAAAACAAGCCAUAAACAGGGCUAAUUUUUGUUAGUUGGCUUCUAAAAUGGCCUGGGAAGCCAUUAUGUCUGGCAAAUGAGCAGAUAUCAAAUUACUACGAAGUUUCUAAAACAGAAAAGGAUUUAGAUUUUUGGAACCUCCAAGUAUGCUUGGUGAAAAUCCCUAUUUGGGGGGUAACUGUCUCAGUGGCUGUCUUCAGGUCUCCAAAUUCCAUUUUUCUUUUUCUCCGCCCCCACUUCCUAUUCCCUGAUGGUCUUUUCAGCAUUACAGCGUGGGUGCUGAUUUUGAUAUUUUGUUCAUGCUUUUGCUGAAGCCCCUUGAAUCGUGUUGGAAACACCCAAGGUUAUCCUGUUCAGCUGCCUCUACCCGCAUAGGAUAUUCAUGGUCAGACCAUGGAAUCUACAUAACCGGAAAAUGUAAAUCUAUUUAUACUAAAAAAAAAGAAAGGAAGAAAUAGGCCUGGAGCUUUUAAAAAUAAACAUUACUUCCAUCCCAUUAUACAAAAAUGCAUUUGAGGUGGUCGUCAUUUUAUUUGGGCCCAUGGUCUUCUGAGACUUGGGACAAUAAUAUAUUUUUUUCCAUCUUAUGCAAAUGUAUGCAGAUUUUUAAAGCAUGCAUGCAUGUAUUACACACUUUGAAUUCAAGUAAUAGAAAUGUUAGUGUGUAUAAAUAGAAUAAAGAGUAUACAUUUGGUACGAAGUAACCUCUGUGGUGUUUGUUUACCCUGAUUUUUUGAUUUAUGAGUCGUCAUUGCUCACUCCAAAAGAAGAAAAAUAAAUAUGCAAAACACUGGUAGACUUUUAAUGGGGUUACUUCCCAUCUUAGCUCAGUGUUUCUCCACUGAAGCUGACCUUGAAAUUGCUUUUUAAAUACAAGUCAAACUAUGCAAAUUCCAGAGCGUCAGGCUGAGUAUCCUGUGUGGGGAGUUCUUUCAAAUUCGCAUCUUUACAGUGUCUCCAUCUUCUGCCCUGUGUGUUAUCUGCUUCUUGGGCCACGAGCCAUGCGUGUCUGAGUGGUGGGUAAAGGGUGUUUCAAAUGUACUCAUGGCCACUAAGUUUAAAACAGCCCUAAAUAUGUAUUCUAUGCGUGCUUCCCUCCCUUCCUCCGUCCUUCCUUCCAAUUGAACUUUAUUUCCUUUGUCAUGAACAUGAAGCACUUUGUACCUAGCGGGUUCGGUUUCUGUCCUUUUUGGUCUCCGUGACACCAGGGCGCCAUGUGUCAUUUAACAGUCCCCUGCAUCCCGUUUCUCAGCAUCCAUCACGCGAAGAAGUUGAUCCCAGUCUGACGCGUGACCUCCGCCUGAGACGUGGCAUCCGCCGGUGUUUGUACUCACGCAUGUCUGUGCUGCCCGUUUCCUGGGCUCCCCAGGAAGUCUCUUCUGUCCCCUGCUCAUAUUUCAUGCGGGUCUUCUUGGAGCCUGCGUGGCUUGGAUACACAUCUAUCACCCCCUCCCCUCGUUACGGCCAGAAAAACUCAGAACCAUGAAUUUCACUGAAGUUUACGAUUGGUCCCCAACUGCCUCCACCGUCACGUGUGGCACAGAAUUCUCUUCUGGACGCAUCCUCGCAGGUAGAUACACAGGCACAUCGGCGGAACCGGUGCAUGAAUGAAUAGGAAAUAGCCCGGUUCCAGAGGAUAAAUCUGUCACGGGGCAGAGAGGAUGUUCAGGCCCAGCACCCACUUCUGCGGUCCCUUGGGGGAUUGGGCCCGUGCUAUAAUUAACGCCGCCAGCAGCAAAAGGACAUUAGGGAUGUCUCGCGUGUUGAUUAUUUCUUCAUUUUGUUUAUCCAAGUGUCCCCGCCUUGGAAGCGCUGCGGCCAUUGCCAAAGAAAGCCCUGGAGACAGAGUGUUAGCUGCUGCUUCCUUGUAAAUGCAUCAUUACCCAGCUCCAAACAAAGUCCUUUUUUUUUUUUUUUUUUUGUCUUUCUUUUUUUUUUUUCCUGUGUGCAACUGGGGACGAGGGGGGAUAGAUUUAUGAAAUGGACCAUUUCAAAUGGCAUUAUCUUCCCACAGUGAGGUACACCUUUCAUAAAUCACGGGAGGUGCUCAGAAAACAGAGCAUUUGUUACGCCUGUUCAACAUUGUAUAGGCGUCCCCCGGAAUCAGAGGAAAAGGAGAAAUUCUUGCGUUUGCAUUCCUGGGCUUGAAAAGGUAAUUAAUCCCCUUCCCGGGAAAUUAUUUUAAAAAAAGGAAGAAGAAGAAAUGUUAUACUAAAAAUAAAAGAGUCCUUCAUGUAGAUCCAGGAUAACCCUUUUACUACUAUUUUUUUUAGAAUUGUGGGUUUGGGGGUUUGUUUGUUUUUUUUUUUUUUUUUUUUUUUUUCUCUUUUUUUGGCUUGCUGGUUUGAGUCCUCAUUUAGUUACGGCAUUAAUUGAGUUCUUUGGCUUCACUUUUCCCUGAAAACCUGGUGUCAUAUUCUGUAGGAUAAAAUAGAUGAGUGUGGAAAGCACAGGGGCAGGAAUUAUUGACUAAGCCUUUCUCUCCCUCUCUCUGCCUUUCCCCACCUAGAGGCUGAGAAGUAAUUAUUCUUCAUUCUGCCUAAGUCCAAAUUAUGUAUGGUUGUGUUUUUAGCAGAGGGAGUCCCUUCUUUUCUAGUAGGCUGGGUGUAAUUUGCAAGGAGAAGCAAAGUGGGUUCUUUGUGUGUCUUUGGCGUAAACUACCAUGUAGUAGUCAGUUCCUCAUAAACAAAUCAGGCUUCUUAAGUAACUCAAGCUGCUUCCUACACGCCUGGCCAAUCUUGCCUCUUCCAGGUACAAGGUUAAACAUCAUCAUUGCAAUCAACGUCAGAGACUCUAGAUCAAUCUACCCUGAGUCUAAUGUUCCUUUGACACCCCUGAGAACCGUCUGGGGAAAAGGGGUGAAAAACGUUUGACAGCAGUUGGAAAAGUUAAAUAAGUCUACCUGCCCCAACUACAUCCUUCCGCCCCCGCCACACCCCCCACAAAAGAUAAGAUAAAUUGACCUCCGUGACUUUGGGAAGGUGGGGAAGAGGAAAGAAUGAAUAAAAAGCUGCCAAAAUACAUUAUUUCUGAAAAAAAGUCCCGUUUUAGAGGUUUGUGACACUUUUUUUUUUUUUUUUUGCACAUGUGAGAUGCCAAGAUAAAACUGAAUUGAAUGAACACUUAAAAGGACCUUGAACUUUGAGUCAAGUUCAAGUGAGCCUCAUGGUCAUCACAAGACAUGGAGGGAAAUUUUCUUGCAUUUGAGAUAUUAAAAAUUUUUUUUAUUAAAUUGUAGUCGAUUUAAAAAUGCUCCGUCAGUGUUGGCUGUCCAGCAAAGUGACUCAGUCAUGCGUGUAUAUACAUUCUUUUUCUCAUAUUAUCAUCCAUCAUGUUCUAUCACAAGUGAUUGGAUAUAGUUCCCUGGGCUGUACAGCCGAACCUCAUUGCUUAUCCAACAUUUGCUUCUCCUAACCCCAAACUCCCAGUGCAUCCCACUCCCUCCCUGUGUUUAAGGUAUUUUGAGACAUCACUGUUCAAGGCACGUAUGAGCCAGAAGUGAAGAAUCUCUUCUUCCCUCUGGUUUCCUAGAAGGAAUUAAUGCCCAAUUCCAUGGCGGAGGUCUCAGGUCCACACCAGCCCUUUAGCACAAGACUUUCUUUGCCUGUCCCUUUUUUAUGUACUUUUCCUGCUGUUUUCACCCGAAGAAGGAAGAUGUUUCUUUGCAUGGGUCUUAGAGUGCAAUCUUGGACUCGUACCAGACAGACCGUGGCACAUCGUAGGCACUUAAAUCAGUUCCUACUUAUGGAGGGCUUUCUAGGUGACAUGCUCUUGAUGUUGCAUUUCAGAGACCACCUCUCCCUUUUUAUCUUCAAAACAAUCCUGUGGCCUAGGCUUGAUUGCACCCAUUUUCUAGAUGAGGAGACCAAGGUAUAGGACAACAAGUCACGCAGCUAAUACAAAUCAAGCCUAGCUCCAAAUUCUGAUCUGACAUCAAAGAUUGUACUCUUUCUAAAUAUGGUUGAUUUACACUAUUAUGUCAAUUUCUGCUGUACAGCAGUGUCCCAGUUUUAUAUGUAUAUAUGUGUGUGUGUGCGCGCGCGUGUGCGUGUGUGUUUCUUCUUUUUCUCAUACUGUCUUCCAUCAUCUUCUAUCCCGAGAGACUGGAUGUAGUUCCCUGUGACAGAUUGUCAAAUAACCUGUCCAAGCCUGGACAACUCCAAGAGGGAGAAAUAAGAAAGAGCCCAAGAAUUUCAAGUACCACUGAAUUACCAGAACUUCUCAGCUGUAUGCUUAUGGGGCGUCAUCAGAGCACUGUAGCUCUCUCUGUUUCAGACACGUCCCGAGUGGACCAACCCUGGAAAAGGAAACAGAAUGGAGAGAAGUGGCUUCACUUGGCCUUGUCCUCCCAUUGCCUUGGACAAGCUGGAAAAAUCCAGAAGGAGUGAAAAUGCAGAACCAGUGAUGUCCAGGCAGCCCUGCUGAGACCCCAGCUUCCUACAGCUCCUUCCAGACUCCACCAUAUGAAAGGACACUUUCCCACUGCAAGUCACUUCUCGGUGGGCUCCACAGCCCCUUGCUGACCCAGAAGAGUGAGUGUCGCUUCUGGAAAGCGUGGCCAGCGGUCCCUAAGAUGACAUCAGCCAUGGGGAACCCAGAGUCAUAUCAGCCAAGCCCUGCAUUGUGCAUGUCCACAGCCAUCUCAAAGCCCAGUUUUCUGGGGUUGAAGAAUUUGCUUCCAGGUCCUUGGCCAGAUAUUUAAGAAGCACGUCUAGAGAAGGAGAUUCGAAGAAGAAGAGGAGGAGGAAAAGAACUCCUAGGAAUCUGUUGGUUUCUGAGAGUUCUUCCCUGGUUUCUCUGGGCUGUGGACCUCUGAGCCUGUGGUGUGACUCUUGUUGAGUUUGGAUUGAUUUUUGGGUUCCCAGACUCAGCACACAACACCCCUUCCUCUGGGUCGUCUUUUCUCCUCUCCAUUUCCGGAGAGAAUUGACCUUCAUGAUUGCGAUUCUCUUGCACUCCGUCAGCUGCUCCCUUUUUAGCCUCUCUCUCAUUGCAUGGACAUUCUUUCUUGUCCGUUUCAUCUGCCGGACUGUGAACUCCUCGAAGACAGGAACGAUCUUUGGGGGGCUCAAGAAACGUUGGUUGCAUCAGUCCGUGGAAUUGGUUUAUAAAUAAGGGGAUGAGAGCAAAGAGCACAAUAAUAUUAAAACAGAGCAUCUGCUGCUAGAAAACCUACCAACAGUGAUAUGUUAUCUUUCCAUAUUGGCUUUCUCUUGCCAAUCAAGUUGUAAUUGUGAGUCU